UAAUACUACGCCGGAUGAACGGAAAUCAUUGAUGUUGAUUAAUAUGUGAUGAAUAUUUCUAGUAUUAA
rnacentral:tRNA from 1 species